rnacentral:tRNA from 1 species
CGCAGGGUAGAGCAGUUUGGUAGCUCGCAAGGCUCAUAACCUUGAGGUCACGGGUUCAAAUCCUGUCUCCGCAA